rnacentral:rRNA from 1 species
AACGAACGCUGGCGGCAGGCCUAACACAUGCAAGUCGAGCGAACCCUUCGGGGUUAGCGGCGGACGGGUUAGUAACGCGUGGGAAUAUACCCUUUGGUACGGAAUAGCCUCGGGAAACUGAGAGUAAUACCGUAUGUGCCCUUCGGGGGAAAGAUUUAUCGCCAAAGGAUUAGCCCGCGUUGGAUUAGAUAGUUGGUGGGGUAAUGGCCUACCAAGUCUACGAUCCAUAGCUGGUUUGAGAGGAUGAUCAGCAACACUGGGACUGAGACACGGCCCAGACUCCUACGGGAGGCAGCAGUGGGGAAUCUUAGACAAUGGGCGCAAGCCUGAUCUAGCCAUGCCGCGUGGACGAUGAAGGCCUUAGGGUUGUAAAGUCCUUUCAGAUGGGAAGAUAAUGACGGUACCAUCAGAAGAAGCCCCGGUUAACUCCGUGCCAGCAGCCGCGGUAA